rnacentral:rRNA from 1 species
UGGCUGGUGUUCUAACGUAGACCCGUGAUCCGGGUUGCGGACAGUGUCUGGUGGGUAGUUUGACUGGGGCGGUCUCCUCCCAAAGAGUAACGGAGGAGCACGAAGGUUAGCUAAUCCUGGUCGGACAUCAGGAGGUUAGUGCAAUGGCAUAAGCUAGCUUGACUGCGAGAGUGACGGCUCGAGCAGGUGCGAAAGCAGGUCAUAGUGAUCCGGUGGUUCUGAAUGGAAGGGCCAUCGCUCAACGGAUAAAAGGUACUCCGGGGAUAACAGGCUGAUACCGCCCAAGAGUUCAUAUCGACGGCGGUGUUUGGCACCUCGAUGUCGGCUCAUCACAUCCUGGGGCUGAAGUAGGUCCCAAGGGUAUGGCUGUUCGCCAUUUAAAGUGGUACGCGAGCUGGGUUUAGAACGUCGUGAGACAGUUCGGUCCCUAUCUGCCGUGGGCGCUGGAGAAUUGAGGGGGGCUGCUCCUAGUACGAGAGGACCGGAGUGGACGCAUCACUGGUGUUCGGGUUGUCAUGCCAAUGGCACUGCCCGGUAGCUAAAUGCGGAAAAGAUAAGUGCUGAAAGCAUCUAAGCACGAAACUUGCC